AUUUUUAAAGGGCUUUAAAGAACAUCUCUGGGAGACAAAAAUAGCUCCAGUUGUGAGAGGCCUACACACUGGGAAUGCAACCGAGAGAUGCAAGUCAGCAAGUGCCAGCCGAGAACAGGAGUGUCUGGCCCCGGGUGGAUGCUCCUCGCUGUCUGGGCGCCGCUUCUCUGCCUGGGCCCGAGACCAGAGCCAGGAUAAAGGAAGGGCCCUGCAAGAUCCUGCAUUGAAUUGGCAGGACAACCACAUCACAUAGAAGAAUUUAUGGCUUCCAUCGCCUGAGCUCAACCCUCGCUCCUGGCUUUCUGUUCCUUCAGGUUUGCUUCCUUUUGGAUAUUGGCUUUACCAAAAAUCAAACAAAAGUUGCCUUUUUUGGUCUCCCCCUUUUCAUAUCUGUCCUCAAUCUGACCAGAUUGUUGUCUUUAAAAGGUGGUAAAAGACAGGACGUGGAAAGAAGAAUGUAGUAGCACCACGGUUGUUCCUUGGUUGAGAACCAAUCUGGUCUCGAGUCCCCACUUGAUGUUUGUUUUUAUUAAAAACGUCUGCAAGGGCAACUGUUCUGAGUAUAUUAUCCAAGAGGAUCUUGUUAAUUAGUUUUGCUGCAGCAUCGGUGGGAGUAACAAAAAUAUACAUCUGCUGACUAAGAAUGACACACAUUUGUUAACGAAAACACCGUUUUCACUAAAACACAAUUCUUGACAGUUUAGCAUGUGCCAUACAAUGUUUAAAUCCUAUCUUCAGUUCCUAUAAUUUUGGGAAAAAUUAUAAAUUACUUUAAAAAUUUUUUAAAGUAUGUUUGGAGCCUGUGAGAAAAUUCUGGGGGAAAAAAAAAAAGAAGGGUUCCCCAGAAACUGCCCUCCCUGUGCUCAGAGGGGGAGAAAAAAAGAGAAAGGAUGGUGCCGGGUGGGGGUGGAAAGAGUCCUGUAUACUUCAGCCAGGGGAAGUAAUUGAAAAUGCUAAUUCUCUGCCCACAGACGAAAACUUUGAAGGACAGGUCCUUGUCAUCGGACUCCUCGAGAAACAGCAGAGCAGAAAUAAAAAUAGAUCAUUGACCAAAAAUAUCCCUUUCCAACUGAGAAGUUUUAAAGUGCUGCUGCCCAUUUUUCUGUUUAAAAAAUUAUAAACCAGCCUUUUUAUUCUUUACUUUGAGAACUGUGGGGGCUAAUGUAUGGGUGGUUUAAGAAUAGAAAUAUUAAGAAUCUCAGUUUACAAAAUGUUGAAAUAGGUCUAUGGCUAUUUUUUUCCCUCUAGAAGAUGAAUUAUCUGCAAGGGUCAAAUUUAGGUUAUUGUCAAAUCAGGAAUGCCAGAGGCUCCCGUCAAUUAGCAAUUUUGGGAAAGAUGUACAUAGAUAAGAGUUACCUCCUUUUCUUCUUUAGAGAAACAGCAAUGUUAAUGAUGCAAUUGCAGUAAUAAUUUCUGGAGGUCCUGUUGUGGCUCAAUGGAAACGAACCUGACUAGUACCCAUGAGGACGCAAGUUUGAUCCCUGACCUCACGCAGUCGGUUAAGGGUCUGGCAUUGCUGUGGCUGUGGGGUAGGCCAGCAGCUACAGCUCCGAUUUGACCCCUGGCCUGGGUGUGGCUCUUAAAAAAAAAAAAAAAGCAAUAAUAAUUUCUUUCCACUUUAAGCUCAAGGGUUACAUUGGGGUUUGUAGCUUGUUUGCAGUGUUAGAACCAGUGGGGCGGGGAUAGUCAUGGAAAUAGUUUGGGGAAGUGCCCUUAUCAUAUAGAGCAUCACAAACUGGGCACGUGUUUACUGGCUCUUUUGUGUGCUUACUGGUUCAUGAGAAUCAAGAAUGGCGAUUGGAAAUGGUUACCCAAGAGGGAAGAGGGUAGGGAAGGGAUAUAUUAGGGGGUUCGGAUUAGCAGAUACAAACUACUGUAUAUAAAACAGGUAAACAACAAAGCCCUCUGUAUAGCAUGGGGAACGGUAUUCAAUAUCCCAUAGUACGCCAUAAUGGAAAGGAAUAUAAAAAAGAAAAAAUAGGGAGGUCUCAUAGUAGCUUAGUGGUAACAAAUCCCACUAGUAUCCAUGAGGGUGUAGGUUCGAUCCCUGGUCUCGCUCAGUGAGUUAAGGAUCUGGCAUUGCUGUGGCUGUGGUAUAGGCUGGCAGCUGUAGUUCUGAUUCGCCCCCUAGCCUGGAAACUUCCGUAUGCCUUGGGUGCAGUCCUAAAAAGCAAAAACAAAC
rnacentral:lncRNA from 1 species